rnacentral:tRNA from 1 species
GCCGGGAUAGCUCAGUCGGUAGAGCAGAGGAC